rnacentral:lncRNA from 1 species
AGCGGCGGCAGCAGAACAGCAGAUCCUGCUGCACACCCUAGUCUGGUCUCUCUCUCUCUCUCUUUUUCUCUGCUCUCGCCGACGCCGUUCAUCCUGAGGGUACCCCUGGAUCCUGUUGAGGCUGGACCUCAGCAAGUGGCGCCCGAAACAGGGACCCGAAGAGAUGCUUUAGACCCACUUCAUGAAUCUGAAAGAAUAAAAGUUAAAGAGGAGGAAGAAGAUAUUGAUUCCAAACCAAGUUAUCAACAGCUAAGGGAGAUGCUGGCUGCCAUGAACACCAGUAGUCAUUUAAAAAGUGGAGAUGAAAAGGAAGAACAGCUUUUGCCCCAAGAUGAAAAAGAUUUAGAAGAAACAGCAGCUUGUUUAUUAUUCUGAUGAAGAUUGGUCCUUUUUUUGCUAAAAACGCUCCUAAAAGUCUAAGAGAUACAUCUCCAAUUAGGCCUUCUGUAAAAUUUAUAUUUACAGAAAUAUAUAGUAAAAUUUAUAUUUUACUUUCUUAUAAUAUUGUAUAUUAUAUAUUGUAUUGUAUAUUGUGAUAUAUCGGAGAAGGCAAUCGCACUCCACUCCAGUACUCUUGCCUGGAAAAUCCAUGGACAGAGGAGCCUGGUAGGCUGCAGUCCAUGGGGUCGCUAAGAGUUGGGCACGACUGAGCAACUUCACUUUCACUUUUCACCUUCAUGCAUUGGAGAAGGAAAUGGCAACCCACUCCAGUGUUCUUGCCUGGAGAAUCCCAGGGACAGGGGAGCCUGGUGGGCUGCCGUCUAUGGGGUCACACAGAGUCGGACAUGACUGAAGCGACUUAGCAGCAGCAGCAGCAGCAUUGUGAUAUAUAAUUAUAUAAUAUAUAUUUUAUAAUUGAUAUAUAUCAUAAUAUGUCAUAAUAUAUAAAUAUAAUAUAAAUAUAAAUUUAUAUUUAAAUCCAAGGUAUCCAAUGGUAAUUUUAUAUAUG